rnacentral:tRNA from 1 species
GCCGGUGUAGCUCAGCCCGGUUAGAGCGCCACGCUCAUAACGUGGUUGUCGAGGGUUCAAAUCCCUCCACCGGCA